AACGAACGCUGGCGGCAUGCCUAACACAUGCAAGUCGAACGAAGGCUUCGGCCUUAGUGGCGCACGGGUGCGUAACGCGUGGGGAUCUGCCCUUUGCUUCGGAAUAACAGUUAGAAAUGACUGCUAAUACCGGAUGAUGUCGUAAGACCAAAGAUUUAUCGGCAAAGGAUGAACCCGCGUAGGAUUAGCUUGUUGGUGGGGUAAAGGCCUACCAAGGCGACGAUCCUUAGCUGGUCUGAGAGGAUGAUCAGCCACACUGGGACUGAGACACGGCCCAGACUCUUACGGGAGGCAGCAGUGGGGAAUAUUGGACAAUGGGCGAAAGCCUGAUCCAGCAAUGCCGCGUGGGUGAUGAAGGCCUUAGGGUUGUAAAGCUCUUUUACCCGGGAUGAUAAUGACAGUACCGGGAGAAUAAGCUCCGGCUAACUCCGUGCCAGCCGCCGCCGUAACAC
rnacentral:rRNA from 1 species